ACUAGAGCCUCUGGACACAGCUAAGACAAUGUUAGGAGGGAAAUUUAUAGCACUAAAUCCCACAUCAAAAAGUUAGGAAGAACUCAAAUUAAUAACCUAACAUCACAACUGAAAGAACUAGAGAAGCAAGACAAAACCCCAAAGCUAGAGGAAGACAAGAAAUAACUGAAAAUCUGAGCUGAACUGAAAGAAACCGAGACAUGAAAAAAAGAAAUUCAAAAGAUCUAUGAAUUCCGGUUUCUCCACAGACACUACCCAAAGCAGUGCUUCACUACAGUGGCAGACAGACCUGAAAAUUUUCAUCUGAAGCAGCAGAGUGAACUGCAGAGGCAGGUCACCAACCAGUGUGGAGGCUAAAAGCGGGCCUCUUUGGGGAUUCCAGGUGGAAGUGUUGGACAUCUGUAGUAUUCCUGGUCUCGAAUCAUCCUGAUAUUCUUCAUUUUGUUAUUCACAUUGGACUAGGCAGGAACAAAGAUCACCACAACUGGCUCCCCUUCAACUAUGUUAGAUGGCAACUUGCCUUCAGUAUGGUGAAACACAUCAAAUUUCUCUUGCCUGACACAGCAUAGGAAGAUGCUGAACGGCCACACAGUGAUCCAUUG
rnacentral:lncRNA from 1 species